rnacentral:rRNA from 1 species
UUUCCCUCAGGAUAGCUGGCACUCGCUUGAGCGAGUCUCAUCUGGUAAAGCGAAUGAUUAGAGGCCUUGGGGCCGAAACGACCUCAACCUAUUCUCAAACUUUAAAUGGGUGAGAUCUCUGGCUUGCUUGAACGUUGAAGCCACGAGAGAGAUAAUGACGACGACUUGUCGUUUGUCAAUUAUCGAAAUGGAUCAGAGUGCCAAGUGGGCCAAUUUUGGUAAGCAGAACUGGCGCUGUGGGA